rnacentral:rRNA from 1 species
AUGCAUUUGGAAUAUAUUGAACUAUGUUUUCUGUCUAUAAGCGCUAGUAUAAAAUUUUAUGUCCAGUUAAUAGAUUUUUGUGAAGUACUGAACUCCAAAGUAAGUCAGGUCAUAUGGCAUGCAGUGCUAUCUGAAGAUUGCGACAAGAAGGCUGUGACGGAGGGGAUAAAUCAUGGGGCGUGUGACUAUUUGGUGAAGCCAGUGCAUACCAACGAGCUAAAAAACAUAUGGCAGCAUGUUGAAAGAAAGAGAAAAUCAGAAGCAAUAAGGCACAUUAGCGGUGAUGAUGAUGACGAUCAGAGAGCACAGCUUGGGACUGCUGGCAAGAGCAAUGAUGGAGCUAAUACUGAUGAGAACAAAGAGAACACACAGGCAUCCACUACCCAGAAGAAGCCAAAAGUGGGAUGGACAAUUGAGCUGCAUACAAAGUUUAUGGAAGCUAUCAACCAGAUCGGCCUUUAUAGGGCUACUCCAAAAAAGAUUCUGGAGAUGAUGAAUGUCGAUUUCCUCACUAGAAAAAAUGUAUCGAGUCAUCUACAGAAGUAUAAAUUGUACUUGAAAAGAGUCAACCCAAACCCACUUGGUGAUGCAUGUGUAAGAUGGAACUCUUUCAUGAACAUUCAGGGGAGUUUUAUGCAUAACCAUGAACCUGAAAGGUGGGGUGUGUCCUCAGGUGGCAUCGCCUCCUGGAGUCCCAACCAUUACGGUGAAGCGGGUCACUUAGGUCAACAUACGAACACCCAGAGCAGUAUGUCCAUGGGUUCAUUAGUUCCACAGACACCCUAUAUGGGAAGAUUUUCUGGCUUCAAUGAGCACAUAGUUCCAUCCAUCAUAGCCGGCAACCCAAGCUCUAUAUUGAUGUUGAAUGCAACCGAUAGUGUUCCAAUGGCACCACCUCAGUUCGUUUAG